GCAGUAGAAGGUGUAGGCUCUGCUUUGCAGAGAAAAGAGUUAUACUAGAGAACUAUAUUUACCCAGAUGCCUGCUUGAACUGUAAAAAUGAAUUUUUCUGAUCCUACUCCUAUGAAUGCAGAUAUAACCUUGGAUACUGGUAGACUGCACCAUGAAUAUAAACAUUAUAGCUUCUAUCAUUGGGAUAUCCCUUCACCACAAUCCGUGAGUUUGACAUAAAGUUUUCUUCACCAAGCUUUAUGUACAAACACACAUAAUCAUGUGGGAAUGUAUCUUUAUGUAUAUACAAACAUGUACAUAGCCACAUAUGAUUUUAAGACUGACACUUCUCCCAUCUGCACUUCCUUCACCCUCUGCAUACAACACAUCAAUCCUAUCAUACCCUCAUCCCAUCCUCAACUCCACUUAGAGGCAAUUACCACAUACAUCAUGAUGGUAUUUUCUUGGACCCUACUGAAGGGACAUAACUCUAAUGAAUAAAAGUAUCCUCACUAGGUUUUUUCCCCAGGUUUUUUUUACGACAUCCAUAAUACUGGACAUGGCAUUUUCUGCCCUUCAUUGGCACCUUACUCUACCUACCAGUCCUUCUGAUGAGUGCUGAGAUUGGUUUUCUCAAACUGUCAUGUAUGAGACUGAUUAGUAAAAUCGACUGAACUGGGUCUAUGAUACUGUUUAUAUAAACACGCACACACACACGUGAUUUACUGAUGGAUGAGUUUCUUUCAACCAGCUUUUUUUUUUUUACUUGUUUCAGUCAUUUGACUGCGGCCAUGCUGGAGCACCACCUUUUAGUCAAGUAAAUUGACCCCAGGACUUAUUCUUUGUAAGCCCAGUACUUAUUCUAUCAGUCUCUUUUGCUGAAUCGCUAAGUUACGGGGACGUAAACACACCAUCAUCGGUUGUCAAGCAAUGGUCGGGGGACAAACACAGACACACAAACAUAUACACAUAUACAUACAUAUAUACGACGGGCUUCUUCCAGUUUCCGUCUACCAAAUCCACUCACAAGGCUUUGGUCGACCCGAGGCUAUAGUAGAAGACACUUGCCCAAGGUGCCACACAGUGGGAAUGAACCCGGAACCAUGUGGUUGGUAAGCAAGCUACUUACCACACAGCCACUCCUGUGCCUAUGUGUAUAUUAAAAAUAAAUAAAAUAGUUGCUUCAUUUUUCAUUAUCAAAAGUGCACAGUUUGCCGAGCAAUCAAUGGAUUUGUGAUGGCUGGUAAGCAAGUGGUGGCAUUUUGUCAUGGUCAUGUUCUCUUUCACAUGGAAUUGUCAUCAGAUUUGAAAUGAAACAUCAACAACCUGGAGAGAAAACCAGGUCACUAUGAAACCUGUUACACAUGGAAUGCAGAUGUGUGGUUAUGAAUAAAUAUAAAUGUACAUAUAAAGAAAGACAGAUAUUGAUUUAUUAAGUUUACUAAAAUAUGUUGAAGGCAUGAGCGGAUGAAGUUAGUUCUGAACAUGUAGCAGAUGUUAUAAAGAAUUCUCAGUUAGGCCUAGAUUAAGAAAGGGGCCCUAAUUUAAAAAACCAGCUAUUUUAUCAUUAUAAUUCUGUGUAUUUGAAGGACCAAUAUAUAUAGGUAUAUAUAUUUUAUAUCAGUUAGUAUGGGUUGUGGUUGGUAUUAGGAAGAGCGUCAAGCUAUAGAAAUAAUGUCUGUUGUCUUGUGAUCCAUCAAAAGGGUAGUAAUUCUAAACGAGAAAUGAUUUGAGCCAUGAUGGCCAGCCCGAUCUAUGGCAACAUGGAAAGCGGACACAAAAUUAUGACAACAAUGAUGAUGCUGGUGAUAAUGAUGAUGAUGAAAUUUCAUUACUUUGUUCAUUUUGUUAAAGAUUUCGGUUAUGUUUUCAAAUUCAUUCCAUUGUUAAGAUUGUUAAAAGCAUAAAGCUCACACAUAUCCAGAAAAGUAAAUUCAUAUUAUAAAUUUUUGAUGUAAUUCAGUUACUCAUAUAACUAAAAAGGUUGAAUAGGGGACAACCACUGAGAGUUAGGUGAGUUAGAACCUACUACUAAUAAUAUUAUCCAAAAUACUUAACAGCUGUGUGUGUAGCCAUAGCUGUUUGGUAAGAAGCUUGCUUCUCAGCCUUAUGGUUUUGGGUUCAGUCCCACUGAAUAUUACCUUGGGUAAGUGCCUUUUAUUAUAAUCCUGAGCUGACCAAAGUAUUGUGAGUAGAUCUGGUAGAUGGAAACUGAAAGAAGCCCAGCAAAAAAUUGUAAUGAUCUUUUUGAUGUCAACUCAUAAGGAAUUAGGUACGAAUUUUCAAUUUGUUAUGCUUUUGUCAGCUUUUCUAUUUGUUAUGUUUUUGUUAAAUUUUCCAUUUGUUAUAUUUUUACUAAAUCUUUGAAAUCUUAUAUAUAUAUAUAUAUAUAUAUACAUGCACACACACACACGUGUGUGUAUAUGUAUGUGAGUGUAUGUCAAACAUUGCUGGUUUGUUUCUGUCCCUGAAACUUAGCAGUUUAGCCACAGAGACUGAUAGAACAUGUACCAGGUUUAAAAGCAAAAACAAACAAAAAAAAAUAUUUUCUGGGGUUGGUUUGUCUGACUAAACCAUUCAAGGUGGUGCCCCAGCAUGGCCACAGUCCAAUGACUGAAACUAGCAAAACAUAAAAGAUAAAAGAAAAGAUGAAACCUCAAAAUCCCCUGACACUCCCAACAGCCCUUGUUCAACUCAUCAUCAUCUCUUCUGCUCCUCAACAUAAACUGAACUUUAUCAGUGUCCAUUGACCUACUACCUAUAUGUCACUACAAUUAUAUCCCUGCCCACUUCUACUGAUUUCGUUAUAUUCUAGACAUACUAUCAAUGCACUUCUCACAUGUUUUCCACUCAUUCUCACUCUCCCCCCACUUUCUUCUCCCUUUUUUCACUAUCAUUUUCUCCCCACGCCAUCCUGUGUUGUAUACUCUCACCCUUAGUUGUAAACUAUUUUUCCUCUCUCAAACUCUCAGAUAAAACAACAGCUUUGAAACAUCAAGUUCCUUUUCUGUGUAUAGCCUAUGAACUUAUCAAAGUCAUGAUAUUUGAUAUAAUAAUAAUAAUAAUAAUAAUGAUAAUGAUAAUGAAAUGAUAAUAAUAAUAAUAAUAAUGAAAAUAAUAAUAAUGAUGAUGAUGAUGAUGAUGAUGAUGAUGAUGAUGAUGAUGAUAAUUAUAAUCUUUUCUACUCUAGACACAAUGCCUGAAAUUUUUGGGGAGAUGGCCAGUUGAGUAAAUCGACCUCAGUAUGCAACUGGUACUUAAUUUAGUGAUCCCGAAAGGAUGAAAGGUAAAGUUGACCUUGGCAGAAUUUGAACUCAGAACAUAAAGACAGAUGAAAUACCGCUAAGUUCAUUGACCCCAGUGCUAGACUGGUACUUAUUUUAUUGGCUCUAGAAAAAUGAAAGAUGAAAUAGACCUCAACAGCAUUUGAACUCAGAAUAUAAAGCCAAAAGAAAUGCUGCUGAACAUUUUAUCUCUUGUACUAAGGUUUCUGUCAGCUUCCUCCUCAUCAGUUCUUUUUAGAAUAGGCAGAAGGCCUGAAAUUUUGUGGGAGGGAGUUAGUUGAUUACAUCAGCUCCCAUGGUCGGGCAAAUGCUUAGCGGUAUUUCGUCUGCCACUACGUUCUGAGUUCAAAUUCCGCUGAGGUCGACUUUGUCUUUCAUCCUUUCAGGGUCGAUUAAAUAAGUACCACCCACGCACUGGGGGUCGAUAUAAUCGACUUAAUCCGUUUGUCUAUCCUUGUUUGUCCUCUCUGUGUUUGGCCCCUUGUGGGUAGUAAAGAAAUAGGUGUUUAUUUCAGUGACCCUGAAAUGAUGAAAGGCAAAGUCAACCUUGGUGGCAUUUGAACACAGAACAAAAGAGCCAGAAGAAAUACUGUCAAGCAUUUUGUCUGGUGUGCUAAAGAUUCUGCUAGGUUACCACCAUUUAUCACCUUAAUAAUAACAACAAUAAUAAUAAUAAUAAUAACAACAACAAGAGCACUCAGAGAGUGCAAACCUCUGCCAAGGCAACACCAACAUCCUCACAACGAUUAGACAGAGAUGAUUAUUAAAAUGAGAAUAUCUGAAAUAAACUUGACUGCUCACACAAAUGAGAAAACAAAAAAUGAACCUGACCACUCUCAAAAUUUAAGUGAAAAAAAAUGGAAAAAUAAUCCAGAAUCCUUGUCUGGUACUGGAUUGAUCCCCAAAUCUAAUCAGUUCAUGCCAGUCACAAGGCCAGACAUCCCUGAAAGUUUUAUUUGAAUCCAUCCAAUAGUUUUUGAGAUAUCUUGCCCACAGACAAACAAACAAACAACCGAAAACAAUUCCUCCGUCUUUGCUAAGGUGUAGGUAAUAAUAAUGAUGAUAAGAAAAAUACCACCAACAACAAAAACAAUCUGAGUAAAGAAGCAGAAGAGAUGAUGAUGUGUUAAACUAUGCAACAAGGGACAACACAAUCAAUUCCUUGUAACCACAACUGAAGUUGAUGGUGAACAUAGGUGGGACUAGUUAAAGAAAGGAACUAAGAAAGGAGACUGAGAGUACUAUACUUUGGCCACAAAUUGGAAGGUCAACCUUAGAAAUGAGCAAGUGUCCUAUAGGAAACAGUUGAAUAGAAUACUCACAGGUACAGCAAGCAGCCACCUGGCAAAAUAAAAAUCUGGUAUUCUUAAUUGAAGCAGUAUAAAUUGUUACAAAUGGUGCAUAGGGAUUAAACCUGUUAUGGAUUAGCAAAUUAUUCAGUAGGAGAAUUCUGAAAAUACAAGAAUUUUCAGUCAUUUAAAUGCUGUGUAAACCAGAAUAAGCUCUGAUCUAAUGAGCCUAUAGGCUUAAGACAGACAUAAAUAUAUAAAUAUACAUCAUCAUCAUCAUCAUGUUGGCAUGGGUUAAACAGUUUGACAGGAGCUGUCCAGGCAGGAGCCUGCACCAAUCUCUUUCUGUUUUGGCAGGGUACUCUUCCUAACACCACCCAGCAGAGUGGACAUAUACAUAUAUGCUUGUGUGUGUAUGUGUGUGCAUGUAUGCAUACAUACCUACACACACACACACGUGUGUGCAUAUAUAUAUGUGUGUGUGUGUGGUGUCGCAAUGGCCCAAUGGUUAAAGCCUGCUGUACUCUUUCGCCACAACUUUCUCUCACUCUUUCUUCUGUUGACCUGCUCGCUUAGCCAGCAGGGUGGCGUCAUUUGAAGGCUAAAACAAUGCAAAGCGCGUUGUGACCAGCGAUGUGUAGCAACAUCCGAUAGCCUGGUCGGUCACGGUGAUGGUGAUAUAUAUAUAUAUAUAUAUAUAUAUGUAUAUUAUUGAACUAACUCUACUUUUUAUAACUGAUUCUUAUCUUUGGUGGAACAAGAACUAGAAUCACGAAACUGAGCCCAAUGUGAUUUAAAUGAAGCACUAGUUUCCAGUGAAGAACCAUUCAGUUUUAAAGGAUGAAACAAGAGUUAGUCAUUUGCCUCAUGGACAUUUGUGACAUUAAUGAAAGGAAGGCAACAUUUUAACUAUUAAGGCUAUAAUCAUCUAUGUGAAUGAAGUGCAGAUGGUAUUGAACCUUUAAGGAUGUUCUGAAGGCUGUCAAGAGCAACUAGGAAAUAUGUAAUAUGCAACUCCUUGUGGAUACUGGAGGAGAACUGCUGCCCCAUAUGAAAACAUGUGCAUGAUAUAAUAACCAGCCUGUUGGAACUUAUUCAAUUAAAAAUAUUAAAAUUUUAUCAUAAGUUGACUUGGGGAAAUGAAUAGUCAAUAGAAAAAAAUACCAGUUACAGACUGGAGUCAGUUCAACCAAUUAUACAUAUGCAUACUUUAUCAAUAACAAUUAUCUAUAUUUAUUAUAUACACUUAUGUUACUGACCUCCCCAAUGGAUUGAAAAUAAAGUGAAUUCCAUUAGGAUUUGAAUGCUGAUAUGUUAGACACUACACUAGACAUAUUACUGCUUCUAGUUCAUGCUCUUGUCUUUGUUGCAACCUAUAUCAUAGCAUAAAUAAAUAAUUGCCAUCCAAACAAUCAUUGUAUGUAUAUAACAGCAUGCAGAAUAUCUAUAUUUUAUUUCAGAUGAUAAUUCAUUAGACUUCACAAUUCUUAAAUGUCCACCAAUAAUUUCUUUAGAAAGAAAUAUUUGAUGAAGUGGUGCACAAAUGCCUUGCUAAAAUGUAUGACAGCACAUGGUCUAACUUUAAAAUGAAAAGAAAUGAAAGUAAAUAGAUUAUCAAUAAGACAGAGUUUGUUAAGUCAGUGCACCUAGAAAUCAUUGUAAUUCAGUCACUAUUGUGAACUUUCUAUGCAAUUUAUGAGUCCCAGAAACUAUAGGGUCGUGGGAGAGUCAGUAAAAGCUUUUUAUUCAUGUAGUGCAUUUAGGGUUGUUGUUUAUUUACCCUGAAGCAGACUUGAUUGAGCAAAUCUACAAUCAAAGACAAUCCAGCAAUGACCAUCUUAUCGUUAUUUCAGGCAAAGUGUAUCUAGAACUACAUUAUCCAAUAUGUCCUUUCAUGUUUAAAACAACAUAGCUAUUAUUUGUAGAAGGUUUAAGGUGGUGAACUGGCAGAAUUAACAUGCUGGGCAAAAUGCAUAGAGACAUUUCAUCUUUAAGUUCUGAGUUCAAAUCUGGCAAGUUGACUUUGCCUUUCAUUCUUACUGGGUUGACAAAAUAAGAACCAGUUGAACACUAGUGGGGUGGGGUCAAUGUAAUUGACUUAUCCCCUCCUCUGAAAUUGCUGGCUUUGUGCCAAAAUUGAAAAUCAUUAUUUGUAGCAGAUUUAGUGGCCAAGUAGAAGCAUUCUCAUUAUAUCCAUAUGUUUAGAAUAAGUUUGUUUGACAGAGUUCAUUUCUCUCUCUAAAUUUAUGUCACAAAAGUUGAAUUCAGCACUGCAACUUUUCAAAAAUGUUAUAUUCCUUUUAAAAGUAGUGUGACCCAUCUCUGCAGCUAAGUCAGCUUCUCCAUUUGAGAAUUAAGUGUCUUGGCUGUAGCCUGUCUCUGUACUCCUAACUUCUUGGCUGUUUGUCCAUCAGUCUCCUGAGCUGGACUACAGCACCCCACAACAUCAGCAACUUUUUAUUUGCAUCCAUUACAUAUUUAGAAAAUCAAAAUAUAUAGUACUGAAACUACUUCUAAGCAACUCAUGAAUUAGAAUGGGUAAUAAAAACACCUGGGAGCUACAAGGAUAAAUGUUAGUAGAUGCUUAAAUUGGUUCUAAUCACCUGUCCAUCACUUUCUCUUUACCUUCUAUAGUUUGUCACCAUCUAUAGUUUAUUUCUCAUCUCUUUCCUGUUGUUAAAGAAUGAUGGAGUGGUAUUAUGAGAUGUGGAUGGGUGAGUUGUGAAGUGUAUUUGUGGUUACUAUUUACUGGUACUGAAUAGGAAGUAAUUUCUUUCAUCGUCUUUGAGCCUGUUCUUGGACCUGUAACUAGAAAUAUUCUGGAAACUGUUGCUCCCAGAACCUGCUGUUGAUAUUACUUUUUCACUUUUUAUUCUUUUCUAAUGCAACUGGAUAGAAAGCCUUCAUCUGGAUCUUGUCGCAUAUUUUAUACAAUAAUGACAAUAAGAAAAAAUAUGAGGAGAUAAGUGGUGAUUUGCAAAGGGCAAAAAACAAAAAGAAAACAAUAAAGUUGGUAAAAUAAAGUCAUAUGACAUGAGAAGGGGUCUCAUGACACACACUCCCAUUUGUCCAUCUUUUUUGUCCACUAUUCCUGGGAGGGUUGUAGUGGGGUUGGUAGAGUCCUCAGGUACCACCUCUAUGAGGUCCUAUCAAAAGCAUCUGUCAUUAGACUUUCCAGUUGAAUUCUCAAGCAUGACCAACUUAAACUAUGAAUAUUAUCCAACAUCUCAUUUUUGGUCUACCACUAGGUUUCCUGCUGGUUGGCUUGGCUUGAAGAAUCCAUCCUUUGAUUCUUUUCUAUGACAUUCUAAUCAUGUCUAUAGUCCCAGAACUGUGACCUCUCAAUAUGAAGAAAUAGUGGUUUGACCUGGUGAAACUCCCUGAUCGCCAAGCUAUAUACUCUGUUGAGAAACAUUACUCCAGAGUUGUUUUGGAGGAAUCCCAUUUUAGUUACUUGUAUUUGCAAUCAUACUCUUUCUGUUGUUACCCAAAAUUUAUAACCAUAGAUGAAACUGAACUGAUGCCAGUGAGUUUGUCACAAACUUAUAUUUUAUUAAUGAUAUUGGUACAAACAUGGGUGUGUUUAUGAAAUUUAGUUCACAUUCAUGUGGUUUUGUAUUCAAUUGACAAAAGUCUUCAACUGUAGAUUUGGGCCAGCAGAAAUCUAUUGAGGAAGAUUCAGUAUCCAUGCAUGCAUGAAUGUAUGUAUGUAUGUAUGUAUGUAUGUAUGUAUGUAUGUAUGUAUGUAUGUAUGUAUGUAUGUAUGUAUGUAUGUAUGUAUGUAUGUAUGUAUGUAUGUAUGUAUGUAUGUAUGUAUGUAUGUAUGUAUGUAUGUAUGUAUGUAUGUAUGUAUGUAUGUAUGUAUGUAUGUAUGUAUGUAUGUAUGUAUGUAUGUAUGUAUGUAUGUAUGUAUGUAUGUAUGUAUGUAUGUAUGUAUGUAUGUAUGUAUGUAUGUAUGUAUGUAUGUAUGUAUGUAUGUAUGUAUGUAUGUAUGUAUGUAUGUAUGUAUGUAUGUAUGUAUGUAUGUAUGUAUGUAUGUAUGUAUGUAUGUAUGUAUGUAUGUAUGUAUGUAUGUAUGUAUGUAUGUAUGUAUGUAUGUAUGUAUGUAUGUAUGUAUGUAUGUAUGUAUGUAUGUAUGUAUGUAUGUAUGUAUGUAUGUAUGUAUGUAUGUAUGUAUGUAUGUAUGUAUGUAUGUAUGUAUGUAUGUAUGUAUGUAUGUAUGUAUGUAUGUAUGUAUGUAUGUAUGUAUGUAUGUAUGUAUGUAUGUAUGUAUGUAUGUAUGUAUGUAUGUAUGUAUGUAUGUAUGUAUGUAUGUAUGUAUGUAUGUAUGUAUGUAUGUAUGUAUGUAUGUAUGUAUGUAUGUAUGUAUGUAUGUAUGUAAAAAUGUGUGUGUGUGUAUGAAUAAAGAGAGUGUGAGCACAUAUAUGCAUGUGUGUGUGUGAGAGAGAGAGAGAGAGAGAGAGAGAGAGAGAGAGAGAGAGAGAGAGAAUAAAGCGGGGAGAGGGAGCUAGAGCGAGAGGUAAAAAAAAAGAUAUAAAUAAAAUGUAAUUAUACGAUGCAAAUAUUCCUCCCUUUGAAAUAAUUUAAAAAAACAGCCAGCCCUUAUCGAUCCUUUUAUAUUAUUUUAUUUUUGCGAGUAAAGAAGAAAAUCUCAUAUUAAAGCCAUAAAAAAGACACACAAACGAAACGUAAAAUUUUACAUGAUAAACGUCAUAUAAAAAUUUAAGCAUGACGUAAACCUCUACUUCUGUCUUUUGUCAACAAAUCAACAUUCUCAUCUCACCCCCACUCUUUCUCUUUCGACAAUAGAUGCUGCAUCAAUGCAUUGGAAUGCUUUUAAAGGCAUAAAAGUCUUACACUUGUCUGUUGGUCCCAAGCGCUCCCUUUGGCAGUGACCAAUGCUAAUUUUUACAAUAAUUCGUAACAAGCAACACGAAAACAUCAGCCUUUGUUUUUGGACUGAUUUACAUGACUAAAUAAAAAAAAGAAAAAACCAUCAGUUUGCGUUUAAAUAGCGCCCGUUGUUUAAACGAACUCCUCUAAUAUUUCGAUUAAUUAGCUCUUGGAAAAUGUUCUUCGUGCGAAGAAUGAUUUUUGUACCAAUUCUUUUUAUACGGUUUUGUAACUGAAAAUGUCAAUUCGAGAAUAAUUAUAUAAAUAACAGAGGUUUAAUAAUUAUAGCUUAUUAUUUAUAUAUAUGAUGGUGAUGCCAGUGCUCUAGCAUGACCGUAUGCAAUAUUAAAAUAAUUAUAUGUAAACCUCAACUUGCUCGUUUCGACUUACAUCUUUUCGAAUUUAUAUGCUUAUUUUACAGAAAUUAAUAGGAAGGAAUUAAGCUUCAAGUUAAUAAGCUUCAAGUUCAGUCGAUUUAUUCGACUUUACGUCAAGAGCAUAAAAAUUAUGAAAAGAAAACAUUUAAAAACCAGAACUGAAGCGGAAAUUCAAAUAAAAUACACGUGAAAACAUGUACAAACAAUUUAUUACAAUAGAUUUAAGCUAAGAUUUUUAAAAUGUUUCUUCCUGUUACAUCGUUUUCCGAUUUAAGUCGCAUGUCUUGGAAACUGUUACCGACGUAAGUUGAGGUGUGUGUGUGUCAACAUAAAAGUAUGUGAUGAAUCGGAGCGUGCUUUUACAUCAACAAAUUAUUUACUAUCAAUCGUUUCCUCUGCAUACAUAAAAUUGUGAUGUUUUAUUAAAGAAACUCAAAUUCGCGCAUAUACUUCUGUAAGUGAUUCUAUUAAAAUCUGACAUUCGUAGCGGCAAGAACAGAGUAAUAGCAGCACCAACAGUCUUAGUAGGUAAAUUUCUUAAAAGAUUUGGAUUUUACCUUUCAGAUAACAGAGAAGAGUUAAUUUAUUUCCCGCGAAUGUGUGUAUGUGUGUGCGUGCGUGUGUGUGCGUGAGUGUGUGUGUAUACGUAUAUAUGAUGGAUAUGUAUGUAUGCGCAUUUAUAUUUGUGCGUAUAUAUAUGUUUAACAACGUCACUGUAUCAGUGAGCAUAUCGUAGAUGUAUGACGGAAUAUUUUUGGUACUCAUUAGUCACGAAAUAAAUGGCACGAACAAAAAGGAAUAUGCGUGCAUUUGCAUGUCUCUUCCACUAUGUUAAGUUUCAGUUUCAACACCAUCUCAAGUGAUCUGAAGUCACUUGACAAAUGAACCCAACACACGAACACACGCACCAACGAGCGCACCCACAGAGGUGGAUAAAUACGUAUAAACGUAAACACGCUUAAAAACUCGGUACACACGCACUUACAAAAUUAGGAACCAUAAAAUAAAAUCUAUAUCAAAUUAAAGUAAAAUCGAUAGUAUCAAUGUGUAAAAAGGCUCUGCAUAUUUAUUACCCUGUGUAUAUCUUGUAUUAAUAAUUAAAUAUAUAUACACGACUAGACAAAUACGUAAUCACACAGUCGCAGACGCACACACGGCUAUCUCAUACUUGCAGAAUCGAAGCAUAUUAAAAACGACAAUCGGAUAAAUAAUAUGAAGUCUAAAUAAUGGAAUGCAAGAAAAGGCAUGACUCUGUGCUAUAUAUCCCACCCCGUUAUCUCUCUUUUUUUUUUUUUUAAUCUUACAUGAGAACUACAUCUCAUAAUUCUCUUCCUCCAUACACCGCCUACCCAGCUUCUCUCAUUUCAAUGAAAAAACAAUCUGCCUUAAAAUGUUUGUCUCUUGCAUGAGUGAUGCCUUCGAAUUAACCACACAAUCACGCGCUCGCACGCGUACACACACACACACGAUCGAGCGCGCGCGCGCACACGCACGCACGCACGCACGCACGCAGAAUUCCGUUUUCAAUUUUCUUGAGAACUGCCUUAAAAUCGCCCCUGCCCUCUUUUGCACACACAGUGGAAUCAAUCUUCAUGUUAUAUUCUUUAACAACUCAAUAGAAAUAAUGAAUAGAUUACAAAAAAACAAAAAAAAAAACAGAAUCUGAUAAAUGAAAAGAAACAACAGCUUAAAAGAUGUUUUUUCCUCCUUUAAUCAAAGGAGUAACAAUUCAGAGAGUUUUUCUUUCUUUCUUUUUUUUUAUUCAGUUUCAUUUUCACUUAAGUUUAUGAAUUUUGACAACUUACAUUUAUCUAUACAUUGCUUCAUCAUACAUAUCUUACAGGUAUCUAUCUUCCCUUCAUUCCUUUUAUCAUCAGGUAAUGAAUGAUUCCCACCCUGACAACUUUGGUGAGUUCUUCAACAAGCACUACAUGCUCACCUUACAGUAUUUGUUCUAGCUCUACAUUUUGGUUAAAUCCUGCCAAAGUCAACUUUGCCUUUAUUCCUCUGGGAGCCAUAAAAUAAAGAAGCAAUCAAGCACAGGUAUACAUCAGCUUAGGUUGCUAAUUGG
rnacentral:lncRNA from 1 species